GAUGAACGCUGGCGGCGUGCCUAAUACAUGCAAGUCGAACGGAAGGUAGCAAUACCUUUAGUGGCGAACGGGUGAGUAACACGUGGGUGAUCUGCCCUGCACUUCGGGAUAAGCCUGGGAAACUGGGUCUAAUACCGGAUAGGACCAUGGACUUCACGGUUUGUGGUGGAAAGCUUUUGCGGUGUGGGAUGGGCCCGCGGCCUAUCAGCUUGUUGGUGGGGUAAUGGCCUACCAAGGCGACGACGGGUAGCCGGCCUGAGAGGGUGUCCGGCCACACUGGGACUGAGAUACGGCCCAGACUCCUACGGGAGGCAGCAGUGGGGAAUAUUGCACAAUGGGCGCAAGCCUGAUGCAGCGACGCCGCGUGAGGGAUGACGGCCUUCGGUUGUAACGACUUUCAUAGGUACGAAGCGCAAGUGAACGGUACCUAUAGAAGAAGACACCGGCCAACUACGUGCCAGCAGACCGCGGUAAU
rnacentral:rRNA from 1 species